ACGGGAUGUGAGGAGCGGGGCGGAGCGGAGGAAAAGAGAUGGAUAAGAAAGCAGGAUGAGGUUGAGGGUGGUGGUCGCCGUCAGGGUGGGAUGGAGGAAACCAUAAACAAAGUGCAGAGGCAAAAACAAAACACACACAUACGAAAAAAGGUCCUCUGAGCAGAUGUUUUCGGUUGUUGCACGUGUUCAGUAGCAAACCAUGAAGACGCAUCACGGCCCUGUUGCUGCACCCAAAGUGUGAAAUAAUCAACUCCUGCACGGUGGCUAUUGAUGCUUGAAAAUACUGAUUAGAUAGAAGAAGCAGAGUAUGGAUUUCUAGCUGAACUUCACCUCAUUUCAAGAUGCCCAGAGAAAGGAAAAGGUCUGACUGAGGCGUUUCGGGUUGUGGUUUUUAUGACCCUGAGGAAAGGUCAUGGGCUUGUUCUGUAUACAACAUGUUCUGACCUCUUCAAAUCCAAAUCCUAUCUCUGGCUUUUGAAGGCAAUUGAUUACUUAAGUGUUCUUCUCCCUACCCUCUGAAUUAUUUACCUAACUUUGCAAUGCAAAUUGUUUUUACACAAGAUAUUUGGAUUAAAGGCAUGUCAGAAUGUUAUCCGUC